rnacentral:rRNA from 1 species
CCUGGCUCAGAUUGAGCGCUGGCGGCAGGCCUAACACAUGCAAGUCGAACGGUAACAGGAAGAAGCUUGCUUCUUUGCUGACGAAUGGCGGACGGGUGAGUAAUGUCUGGGAAACUGCCUGAUGGAGGGGGAUAACUAUUGGAAACGGUAGCUAAUACCGCAUAACGUCGCAAGACCAAAGAGGGGGACCUUCGGGCCCCUUGCCAUCGGAUGUGCCCAGAUGGGAUUAGCUAGUAGGUGGGGUAACGGCUCACCUAGGCGACGAUCCCUAGCUGGUCUGAGAAGAUGACCAGCCACACUGGAACUGAGACACGGUCCAGACUCCUACGGGGGGCAGCAGUGGGGAAUAUUGCACAAUGGGCGCAAGCCUGAUGCAGCCAUGUCGCGUGUAUGAAGAAGGCCUUCGGGUUGUAAAGUACUUUCAGCGGGGAGGAAGGGAGUAAAGUUAAUACCUUUGCCCAUUGACGUUACCCGCAGAAGAAGCACCGGCUAACUUCGUGCCAGCAGCCGCGGUAAUACGGAGGGUGCAAGCGUUAAUCGGAAUUACUGGGCGUAAAGCGCACGCAGGCGGUCUGUUAAGUCAGAUGUGAAAUCCCCGGGCUCAACCUGGGAACUGCAUCUGAUACUGGCAAACUUGAGUCUCGUAGAGGGGGGUAGAAUUCCAGGUGUAGCGGUGAAAUGCGUAGAGAUCUGGAGGAAUACCGGUGGCGGAGGCGGCCCCCUGGACGAAGACUGACGCUCAGGUGCGAAAGUGUGGGGAGCAAACAGGAUUAGAUACCC